rnacentral:rRNA from 1 species
GACGAACGCUGGCGGCGUGCUUAACACAUGCAAGUCGAACGGAAAGGCCCUGCUUUUGUGGGGUGCUCGAGUGGCGAACGGGUGAGUAACACGUGAGUAACCUGCCCUUGACUUUGGGAUAACUUCAGGAAACUGGGGCUAAUACCGGAUAGGAGCUCCUGCUGCAUGGUGGGGGUUGGAAAGUUUCGGCGGUUGGGGAUGGACUCGCGGCUUAUCAGCUUGUUGGUGGGGUAGUGGCUUACCAAGGCUUUGACGGGUAGCCGGCCUGAGAGGGUGACCGGCCACAUUGGGACUGAGAUACGGCCCAGACUGCUACGGGAGGCAGCAGUGGGGAAUAUUGCACAAUGGGCGGAAGCCUGAUGCAGCAACGCCGCGUGCGGGAUGACGGCCUUCGGGUUGUAAACCGCUUCCGCCUGUGACGAAGCGUGAGUGACGGUAAUGGGUAAAGAAGCACCGGCUAACUACGUG